ACAUGAUGAGAUAUCAUAGCUGGCACCAGUCAGACGGGAGUGAUGAUUCAUCAUUUCCCACUGCUGAUUAGCUGUGGUCCGGGAACGCUACCCGAGAUCCCUGAC
rnacentral:snoRNA from 1 species